CCCCAUGCCAGGAGUUUAUUCUCUCUCCUGUCAUAGUGUGGUCUCUGCCUGCCCUACCUGCUGAAGGGCAAGCAUGCCUAGCGCUUCUCUUUGGGGUGCCACAAGGACAAGGUGGGGAGGAAAGGUCACAGGCUCCCAGGCUCACUGUCACCUUCCCUCACUGCAAAGGAGAUGUAGAGAGAUCCUGCUAUCCUUUACAGCCCUCCUGAGACCUCAGUUAAAGCAUCACUGUCAUCCACAAUUAAGAAAGACCAAUUCUAUCUGAAAGAUUAAUGAAGGCCAAUACAGCAAUGUUAUGAAUGAAGAACCUGUCUUUAAAUGCAGGCUUACACAACACCAAGGCCGCCUCUGCUCCUCAUCCCAGCAGUGAGGAGGCUGGGGGUGCACGAAGAGUUGGGAAGGGGACACAGAUGGGACAGCUGACCCCAAAUGACCCAAGGAACAUCCCAGACCAUAUGUCAUCAUGUCCAGUACAUAAAGCUGGGGAAGAAGAAUGUUUGGAAUUACAGCGUUUGAAUUCCCAAGGAACCACUGAGUGUGAUGGAGCCCUGCUUUCUUGUGCAUGGCUCAACAUUUGCCUGUCCAUGGGAAGUGGUGAAUUAACUCCUUGUUUGUCUUGUUUAUGUGCUGUGCUUUGCUUUACCUAUUAAACUGUCUUUAUCUAAA